UGCUUACGAAUGCUCUGACUUUAUUGCACUACUGUACUUGACAGCUAGCAGUGCAAUAGUAUUGUCAAAGCAUCUGAAAGCAGA
rnacentral:pre_miRNA from 1 species